AUGCACAGGGGCACCCACCACCCAGAGCAGGCCGGGCUGUUUCCCCACGAAGCUCCUUUCACACCAGUUCCCCACCUGCUGCUGGACAGGCCUCAGGAGGAUUCUUCGCUUCCCUUGGUGGGAUUCUUCGCUUCCCUCCCUGCAGAGACACUGGCUGUCCUUCUGCCCCACCCAGCCCCCGGUCCCUGCCAGGGAAAGGUGCGCCCCCCGGAACCACCUGGGAAGGACACUGUGGGGCCUGUGGGCUUGUUCAGCUGCUGGCUCAGCUCAGCUGGAACCUCCAAAAUGAGGCCGAAGCUGCCUGGGGUAUGCUCCUGGUUUCCACGGGUCUUCGGGGCCAUCAACCUACAGGUCGAUUUUGAGGGAAGAAGAGGGCAGCUGUGCCGGAUCCGCAAGAUUUCACGGAAUCAGAAAGUCCUUCCUGAACUCCGUUCAACAAGAAUCCAGACGCUCAAUUGGACCCAUGAGGUUUCACAGUUGCCAAGGCUGUGAGCCCCAGGAGUUAGAGGGUGAGGGUCCUGCCCAGCUGGGAAGCCACGUGGCCCAACGGCCAGGACACAAGAUGCCGUGGGGCAAGCACUCUGCCUCCGUGGGCCCUCCCUCCACAAAAUAUCAAAAAUCCUGUUUUACGUCUGUGUUGAUAAGAAGCCCAAAUGUGCUAAUAUUAUAUAUGAAAACAUUUUAUUUGAUCUAAAAUUUCUUUUUUCUUUUCUUAUGAUUUAAAAGUAAUUACAACAGUGUUGUGGGCCCUGAGUUGGCCUGGGGGAGGCUGGGGGUGACUAGGGAGGUGGCGACUGGGGGCCCCUGAAGGACCUGGAGGAGCUGGCGACUCCGGUGGUGAGAACCAGGGCAGGAGGACCACCGGGUGACAGGCAGGAGAGGCAGGACAAUCCACCUGCUCAGGGGGCCCGGGUGGGCUGCGUGGGGUGCGUCCCGGCUUAGGAAAGGGCCUCGAUAGCUGGCCAGUGCACAGCCCCGUGGCAGGUGGGUGGAGGGUUGCUGAUCUGAUCCUCAGAUCCUGCCCACGUGACCCUGGAUGCCUGGAGCUAGGGCACAGCCAGGCCCCGCCACGGGGCUGGAGGUGAGCUUUGCACGUGCUUGGACUCCCCAGGGUCAGGUGAGUGGUGACAGUGACCAAGUCUGCACUUGGGGUCAUGUGAGUGGUGACCGUGAUGUCUGCACCAGCUUUUGGGGAAGGUGCGUGGUCUCACACCCAAGGUGGGGAAGAAGGUUUGGCAUGGCCUGGAAGGUUCUUGAGCCUUCACUGCCCUUCAGGGAGCCUGGGCGGGGCCUGGGGGACUGGGGCUGGUGUGGUCUCCACUUGGGACCUGCACGCGCCCCAGGCAGGCAGCGAGGCCAGCAGGCAGAGGUGGGUGAGUGUCCUCGCCGUGUGACUCUGGCCCGUCCUUAGCCACGGGGGCUCCUGUGUGGGUAGCUGUCCCAGGCCCACUCCUCCUUUCCGAACCCCAGAAUCGAUUUCCUGGUGGAGGUGUGAGGACGCGUCGCAGCUGUCUCUCUCUGAACCUGCUGCAGGUUCUGGCCCGAGUGCCUGGAUGCCAGACAGCCGCGAGCUCUGCAUCAGACCCGCCUGCCUGGGCAGCCUGGGGCUCACCUCUUGUUUGUCCUUCAACUUGAGCUGGCCCUGAGCCAGUUUGUACAAAGAGUCUGUCGCUUUGAUGGGACUUUUCCCUGGCACUGGCUGGAUGUCCGAUCACCACCCUGCACCCACAUCCCUCCCACUCAGCCUGGAGCUCUGCACUCAAGUGCUGCGUCUUCAGGGUGUCUCUGCCAAACUCCACUCGAAUCAGGGCUCCAGCUGCCACGAUGUGCAUUCCCAGCCCUGGUCCCUCCCUGCCCUGACAGGGUUCCCCCUACCCCGCUCCCAAUCCAGACAGGGUUCCCCCCGCCCCGCUCCCAAUCCAGACAGGGUGCCCCCCG
ensembl:lincRNA